AGUGAACGCUGGCGGUAGGCCUAACACAUGCAAGUCGAACGGCAGCACAGUAAGAGCUUGCUCUUACGGGUGGCGAGUGGCGGACGGGUGAGGAAUACAUCGGAAUCUACUUUUUCGUGGGGGAUAACGUAGGGAAACUUACGCUAAUACCGCAUACGACCUACGGGUGAAAGCAGGGGAUCUUCGGACCUUGCGCGAUUGAAUGAGCCGAUGUCGGAUUAGCUAGUUGGCGGGGUAAAGGCCCACCAAGGCGACGAUCCGUAGCUGGUCUGAGAGGAUGAUCAGCCACACUGGAACUGAGACACGGUCCAGACUCCUACGGGAGGCAGCAGUGGGGAAUAUUGGACAAUGGGCGCAAACCUGAUCCAGCCAUACCGCGUGGGUGAAGAAGGCCUUCGGGUUGUAAAGCCCUUUUGCUGGGAAAGAAAAGCAGCAGGUUAAUACCCCGCUGUUCUGACGGUACCCAAAGAAUAAGCACCGGCUAACUUCGUG
rnacentral:rRNA from 1 species